CCGGCUCUCGCCUGGUGGCGUUUCUUGCUCGGGCCUCCAAAUGUUGUACUUGAGCGAGUUAGAGAAAAUGCCACACUUUGAGGUGAAUUAAGAGUCUGUUUCUUU
rnacentral:pre_miRNA from 1 species